rnacentral:rRNA from 1 species
GCUUACGGCCACACGGCCUGGUUCACACCCGAUCUCGUUUGAUCUCGGAAGCUAAGAUAGGUUGGGCCUGGUUAGUAAUUUGAUGGGAGACCACCUGGGAAUACCAGGUGCUGUAAGCU